rnacentral:rRNA from 1 species
ACGCUAGCUACAGGCUUAACACAUGCAAGUCGAGGGGAAACGGCAUUAAGUGCUUGCACUUUUUGGACGUCGACCGGCGCACGGGUGAGUAACGCGUAUCCAACCUUCCCAUGACUAAGGGAUAACCUGCCGAAAGGCAGACUAAUACCUUAUGGUCUUCACUGACGGCAUCAGAUGUGAAGUAAAGAUUUAUCGGUUAUGGAUGGGGAUGCGUCUGAUUAGCUUGUUGGCGGGGUAACGGCCCACCAAGGCAACGAUCAGUAGGGGUUCUGAGAGGAAGGUCCCCCACAUUGGAACUGAGACACGGUCCAAACUCCUACGGGAGGCAGCAGUGAGGAAUAUUGGUCAAUGGGCGAGAGCCUGAACCAGCCAAGUAGCGUGCAGGAUGACGGCCCUAUGGGUUGUAAACUGCUUUUGUAUGGGGAUAAAGUCAAUCACGUGUGAUUGUUUGCAGGUACCAUACGAAUAAGGACCGGCUAAUUCCGUGCCAGCAGCCGCGGUAAUACGGAAGGUCCGGGCGUUAUCCGGAUUUAUUGGGUUUAAAGGGAGCGUAGGCUGGAGAUUAAGUGUGUUGUGAAAUGUAGACGCUCAACGUCUGACUUGCAGCGCAUACUGGUUUCCUUGAGUACGCACAACGUUGGCGGAAUUCGUCGUGUAGCGGUGGAAUGCUUAGAUAUGACGAAGAACUCCGAUUGCGAAGGCAGCUGACGGGAGCGCAACUGACGCUGAAGCUCGAAGGUGCGGGUAUCGAACAGGAUUAGAUACCCUGGUAGUCCGCACAGUAAACGAUGGAUGCCCGCUGUUGGUACCUGGUAUCAGCGGCUAAGCGAAAGCAUUAAGCAUCCCACCUGGGGAGUACGCCGGCAACGGUGAAACUCAAAGGAAUUGACGGGGGCCCGCACAAGCGGAGGAACAUGUGGUUUAA